UACGUAGGGUGCAAGCGUUGUCCGGAAUUAUUGGGCGUAAAGAGCUCGUAGGCGGUUUGUCGCGUCUGCUGUGAAAACGCGAGGCUCAACCUCGCGCCUGCAGUGGGGUACGGGCAGACUAGAGUGCGGUAGGGGAGAUUGGAAUUCCUGGUGUAGCGGUGGAAUGCGCAGAUAUCAGGAGGAACACCGAUAGCGAAGGCAGCUUACUGGGCUGUAACUGACGCUGAUGCACGAAAGUGUGGGGAUCAAACAGG
rnacentral:rRNA from 1 species